AUUAUUUUAAUAAAGCGCAGUUUAUAUCACAGACCACAAGAGGACACUCCUCCAACAUCAGUGCUUCAAAUUGCAAAUCUAAUUUUCAAGUAAAUCUCAUCUUGGUGUUUUCCAGUGACAGGGAUGAAGAAAUCUGCUUCCCCUAACGCAGCAGUACUGGGGAGCUGACAGCUUGAUAGUUUUCCUGUAUCCUUAUCUUCUAUCAAAGCACCGAGAUGCCAUAUUGGAUUUUCUGUUUCCUAAAGCUAAAUUUCACAAUGGAAAAAAUAACCUGUGGCUUUCUGGAUUUGAAGAAUCUCCAUUUUUUCCAGUGAAAGUAUGGCUCCUGUUAUUUAUUAUGUAAACCUUACAACCACAGCCUUAUUCUUCUCAUUCCUUUUCACAGAUCGCUUAAAAACAGUCCUUGGAUAACAAAAACCACUGAUCUGAAGGACUGGAGGUACCAGAUAUUCAGCUUCUGGUAAGAAUAAGGAAGAAUUACAAGUCCAUGUUAUUAACAGCUAUACUUGCAAGGAAACACUGAAAUAGUGACCACGAAAAAAAGGCACAAAACUUCUGAAUAACUCAUUCACAAUUUUCACUGUAGGAAACCCCACUGAACAUCAUGCUGUUUGAACAGGGACAGCCCCCCAGAAGCACACACUUCCUCAUCAGUGGGAAAACGUAAGGGAUGCACGCCUGGAGCUCUCCAAGACAUUGCUCAGGCAAAUUAGCAGUUGUGAAUCAAUGAUGCGUUAUAUGUGCCUAAGUCCAUAAUGCUUUAUGGCAUGCCACCGAAAAGGGAAAAGGCUGAAGCCAUGAAAUACAGCUCCUCUCUGACUCGAC